UACGUAGGGGGCAAGCGUUGUCCGGAUUUAUUGGGCGUAAAGAGCGUGUAGGCGGCCAGGUAGGUCUGCUGUGAAAACCCGAGGCUUAACCUCGAGCUGUCGGCGGAAACCAUCUGGCUAGAGUCCGGAAGAGGAGAAUGGAAUUCCCGGUGUAGCGGUGAAAUGCGCAGAUAUCGGGAAGAACACCCGUGGCGAAGGCGGUUCUCUGGGACGGUAUUGACGCUGAGACGCGAAAGCGUGGGGAGCGAACAGG
rnacentral:rRNA from 1 species